rnacentral:rRNA from 1 species
AGCGAACGCUGGCGGCAGGCCUAACACAUGCAAGUCGAACGAACCUUUCGGGGUUAGUGGCGGACGGGUGAGUAACACGUGGGAACGUGCCUUUAGGUUCGGAAUAACUCAGGGAAACUUGUGCUAAUACCGAAUGUGCCCUUCGGGGGAAAGAUUAAUCGCCUUUAGAGCGGCCCGCGUCUGAUUAGGUUGUUGGUUGAGGUAAUGGCUCACCAAGGCGACGAUCAGUAGCUGGUGUGAGAGGAUGAUCAGCCACAUUGGGACAGAGACACGGCCCAGACGCCUACGGGAGGCAGCAGUGGGGAAUAUUGCACAAUGGGGGCAAGCCUGAUGCAGCAAUGCGGAGUGUGUGAAGAAGGACUCCGGGGUGGAAAGCACUGUCAGCGAGGAGGAAGGAGGUGAGCUUAAUACGUUCAGCAAUUGACGGUACUCGAAGAAGAAGCACCGGCUAACCCCGUG